UGUGGCUUAUUUGGUUAAAGCACCGAGCUAGCGAUACGGAGUUGUGGGUUCAAAUCCCACCA
rnacentral:tRNA from 1 species